rnacentral:rRNA from 1 species
CCUACGGGAGGCAGCAGUGAGGAAUAUUGGUCAAUGGGCUUACGCCUGAACCAGCCAAGUCGCGUGAGGGAAGACUGCCCUAUGGGUUGUAAACCUCUUUUGUCAGGGAGCAACGCCGGCUACGUGUAGCCGGACUGAGAGUACCUGAAGAAAAAGCAUCGGCUAACUCCGUGCCAGCAGCCGCGGUAAUACGGAGGAUGCGAGCGUUAUCCGGAUUUAUUGGGUUUAAAGGGUGCGUAGGCGGAAUGCCAAGUCAGCGGUAAAAUCGGGGGGCUCAACCUCGCUCCGCCGUUGAAACUGGCGUGCUUGAGUGGGCGAGAGGUGUGCGGAAUGCGUGGUGUAGCGGUGAAAUGCAUAGAUAUCACGCAGAACUCCGAUUGCGAAGGCAGCAUACCGGCGCCCAACUGACGCUGAAGCACGAAAGCGUGGGUAUCGAACAGGAUUAGAUACCCUGGUAGUC